UGCAGGACCUGAAAGCAAGAUAAGAGGGUAAUCACCAUUUCCAAAGCAGAUUACCUAAUGCCAAGCCCUCCAUAGUUCUUGACCUGUGGUAUCUCUUCUAUGCUCAGUUCACAAAAUCUUUGAUGCAAUAGAUGAAUCUCUACGUAGCAUCCCUGGAGCUCCAUAUUACCCUCCCUUGCUACCACAUGGCUGCCAGCAUACGUACAAGAAAAGGAGGAAGAGGAAGAGAAAACAAGUAAAAAUAGAAGGAAAGAAGGAAAAUCAAUGAAAAUAUUUUCCCCCUUUUUUAUGAGUGGAAUGAUACAGUACUGAGCAUCUU